rnacentral:rRNA from 1 species
AACGAACGCUGGCGGCGUGCCUAAUACAUGCAAGUCGAGCGAGAAAGUCUCUUCGGAGAUGAGUAAAGCGGCGCACGGGUGAGUAACACGUGGGCAAUCUGCCCUCGAGUCUGGGAUAACCCGGGGAACUCGGGCUAAUACCGGAUACGGCUGCGGGGUCUUCGGAUCCUGUGGAGAAAGAUGGCCUCUUCUUGAAAGCUAUCUCUCGAGGAUGAGCCCGCGUCCUANAGCUAGUUGGUGGGGUAACGGCGUCACCAAGGCAAAGAUGGUAGCUGGUCUGAGAGGAUGACCAGCCACACUGGAACUGAGACACGGCCCAGACUCCUACGGGAGGCAGCAGUGGGGAAUAUUGGACAAUGGGCGCAAGCCUGAUCCAGCGAUGCCGCGUGUGUGAAGAAGGCCCUGCGGGUUGUAAAGCACUUUCAGUAGGGAAG